GCUCAACCGAGGAAGUGCUUCGAAAACUGGUAAACUUGAGUGCAGAAGAGGAAAGUGGAACUCCAUGUGUAGCGGUGGGAUGCGUAGAUAUAUGGAAGAACACCAGUGGCGAAGGCGGCUUUCUGGUCUGUAACUGACGCUGAGAUUCGAAAGCAUGGGUAGCAAACAGGAUUAGAUACCCUGGUAGUCCAUGCCGUAAACGAUGAGUGCUAAGUGUUGGAGGGUUUCCGCCCUUCAGUGCUGCAGCUAACGCAUUAAGCACUCCGCCUGGGGAGUACGACCGCAAGGUUGAAACUCAAAGGAAUUGACGGGGGCCCGCACAAGCGGUGGAGCAUGUGGUUUAAUUCGAAGCAACGCGAAGAACCUUACCAGGUCUUGACAUACCAUGAAAAGCUUAGAGAUAAGUCUUUCCCUUCGGGGACAUGGAUACAGGUGGUGCAUGGUUGUCGUCAGCUCGUGUCGUGAGAUGUUGGGUUAAGUCCCGCAACGAGCGCAACCCUUAUUAUCAGUUGCCAGCAUUCAGUUGGGCACUCUGGUGAGACUGCCGGUGACAAACCGGAGGAAGGUGGGGACGACGUCAAAUCAUCAUGCCCCUUAUGACCUGGGCUACACACGUGCUACAAUGGUCGGUACAACG
rnacentral:rRNA from 1 species